rfam:Populus trichocarpa scaffold_24_contig_20, whole genome shotgun sequence.
UCUAGAACUCGAGAUAUGGGCUGAACACUGAACAAUGUCUGGGCUGCGGACAGAUUCUGACUUCCCAGUUAUUGCUAAGAUUUGGACUUCCAAACAGCAGAAUUGAGUCUUGGACUCCUCAUGAAUGUUUUAGGCCUAUGUAUGAGCUUUUUAGC